rnacentral:rRNA from 1 species
CCUACGGGGGGCAGCAGUGGGGGAUAUUGCACAAUGGGGGAAACCCUGAUGCAGCGAUGCCGCGUGAAUGAAGAAGGCCUUCGGGUUGUAAAGUUCUGUCGCAGGGGACGAAAAUGACGGUACCCUGCACGAAAGCUCCGGCUAACUACGUGCCAGCAGCCGCGGUUAUACGUAGGGAGCACGCGUUGUCCGGAAUUACUGGGUGUAAAGGGAGCGUAGGCGGGAUGAUAAGUUGAAGGUGAAAUCUAGGGGCUCAACCCAAAGCAGCGUUCAAAACUGUUCUUCUUGAGUGAAGUAGAGGCAGGCGGAAUGCCUAGUGGAGCGGUGAAAUGCGUAGAUAUUAGGAGGAACACCAGUGGCGAAGGCGGCCUGCUGGGCUUUUACUGACGCUGAGGCUCGAAAGCGUGGGUAGCAAACAGGAUUAGAUACCCUUGUAGUC